rnacentral:rRNA from 1 species
AACGAACGCUGGCGGCAGGCUUAACACAUGCAAGUCGAGCGCCCCGCCAGGGGAGCGGCGGACGGGUGGGUAACGCGUGGGAACGGACCCAUUGGUUCAGAACAACCCCGGGAAACUGGUACCAUUACCGGAUAAGGCCUAAUGGGGGAAGAUUUAUCGCCCAAAGAUCGGGGCGCUGCUGAUUUGCUAGUUGGUGAGGUAAACGCACACCAAGGCGACGAUCAGUAGCUGGUGUGGGAGGAGGAUCCGCUACACUGGGACUGAGACACGGCCCAGACUCCUACGGGAGGGAGCAGUGGAGAAUAUUGGAGAAUGGGCGCAAGCCUGAUCCAGCCAUGCCGCGUGAGUGAUGAAGGCCGUAGGGUUGUAAAGCUCUCUUGUCCGGGAAGAUAGUGACGGUACCGGAAGAAUAAGCCCCGGCUAACUUCGUG